UACGAAGGGGGCUAGCGUUGUUCGGAUUUACUGGGCGUAAAGCGCACGUAGGCGGAUAUUUAAGUCAGGGGUGAAAUCCCGGGGCUCAACCCCGGAACUGCCUUUGAUACUGGGUAUCUCGAGUUCGAGAGAGGUGAGUGGAACUGCGAGUGUAGAGGUGAAAUUCGUAGAUAUUCGCAAGAACACCAGUGGCGAAGGCGGCUCACUGGCCCGGUACUGACGCUGAGGUGCGAAAGCGUGGGGAGCAAACAGG
rnacentral:rRNA from 1 species